rnacentral:rRNA from 1 species
GACGAACGCUGGCGGCGUGCCUAAUACAUGCAAGUCGAACGCAGUUGCGAACGGGUGAGUAACGCGUAGGUAACUGCCUCAUAGCGGGGGUUAACUAUUGGAAACGCUAGCUAAUACCGCAUACUGUGAGAUGGACCUGCGUUGUAUUAGCUAGUUGGUGAGGUAAAGGCUUACCAAGGCGACGAUACAUAGCCGACCUGAGAGGGUGGUCGGGCAAAAUGGGAACGGGGAAACGCCCAGAAUCCUACGGGAAGGAGCCAGAGGGAAUCUUCGGGAAUGGACGGAAGUCUGACCGAGCAAAGCCGCGGGAGUGGAGAAGGUUUUCGGGGUGGAAAGCGCGGUUGUGAGAGGAGCGGUAACUAACCAGAAAGGGACGGCUAACUACGUGCCAGCAGCCGCGGUAAUUC